rnacentral:tRNA from 1 species
GGGAUGUUAGCUCAGUUGGUUUAGAGCACCCGCCUUACAAGCAGGGGGUCAUUGGUUCGAAUCCAAUACGUCCCACCU